rnacentral:rRNA from 1 species
UACAGAGGGUGCAAGCGUUGUUCGGAAUUAUUGGGCGUAAAGCGCGUGUAGGCGGCGAUUUAAGUCGGGUGUGAAAGCCCUCAGCUCAACUGAGGAAGUGCGCCCGAAACUGAAUGGCUUGAGUGCCGAAGAGGGUGGCGGAAUUCCCCAAGUAGAGGUGAAAUUCGUAGAGAUGGGGAGGAACACCGGAGGCGAAGGCGGCCACCUGGGAGGUAACUGACGCUGAGACGCGAAAGCGUGGGGAGCAAACAGG